AUUGAACGCUGGCGGCAGGCCUAACACAUGCAAGUCGAACGGUAACAGGAAACAGCUUGCUGUUUCGCUGACGAGUGGCGGACGGGUGAGUAAUGUCUGGGAAAAUGCCUGAUGGAGGGGGAUAACUACUGGAAACGGUAGCUAAUACCGCAUAACGUCGCAAGACCAAAGAGGGGGACCUUCGGGCCUCUUGCCAUCGGAUGUGCCCAGAUGGGAUUAGCUAGUAGGGGGGGUAACGGCUCACCUAGGCGACGAUCCCUAGCUGGGCUGAGAGGAUGACCAGCCACACUGGAACUGAGACACGGUCCAGACUCCUACGGGAGGCAGCAGUGGGGAAUAUUGCACAAUGGGCGCAAGCCUGAUGCAGCCAUGUCGCGUGUAUGAAGAAGGCCUUCGGGUUGUAAAGUACUUUCAGCGGGGAGGAAGGGAGUAAAGUUAAUACCUUUGCUCAUUGACGUUACCCGCAGAAGAAGCACCGGCUAACUCCGUGCCAGCAGCCGCCGUAA
rnacentral:rRNA from 1 species